GGACUUUUGGGAUAGCAUUGGAAAUGUAAUUGAGGAAAGUACGUAAUAAAAAAAAAAAGAAAAAAAAAACUCAAUACAAAAUGAAAAUGGUAUUUAAAAAAAAGAAUGAUGUAAAUUCUGAUGCCUAAAAUGACUAUAUUAUAUCUAAUAAGUUCUCUAAGCCCUGCUCAUAUUCUCUUUGUCGAGGUCCUUUUCACCAUACCGCCAACACUUCAUAGAUUCACUUAUUGUGAAUGGUAGGUAUGAGGAUAAUCAACAUAUACGGAGUUUGGUGUCACUAAUGUAAACUACUUAAAUGUGAGAAAUACUGUAUGACUCCUGACAGAAUGUGACAUCUGCAUGAUGUGGCCAUGUGUGGGGCUAGCUUCUCGCACUCCUCCAUGAGCAUGCCCUCAUCAGUGCGAUGUGAAUAACAUUUCUCUACUAGCAUGAGAGGAAGUAACGUCCAUGCAGGACUACUAAGCUUUGACUUUCAUCUGACCCAUGAGUUUGUCCAAGAUUGCUAAUCUCCUCUCACUUCUGAGACCAACCGGCAGAGAGCUUGGAACCAUUUCCUCACUUUAUCUUCUUUGGCUGUGCAGUCUGGCUCACUGGGGCAGGUUACCUGGAGUUUGGUUGCAUCUUUGCUUCCAUCAAUAUGAACCCUUUUCUUCCUACAUCAUGCCUUGGCACUAUUUUAACACCGACUCCUGCCCAGCUCAUCUGUGACAUUAUUGUCUUGCACUAUUCCCAAGCUAAAGAUCUUGGGCUAUCUUUUUUUUUUUCUUCAUUCUUUUUUCUAUCUCUGCUUCCUCUUAUUCCAUACAUUGACUCUGCUUCCUAACACACUUCCUCUCUUUUGUCAACUUGCUCCUCACCAACCCAGACUACCUUACCUUCUGGAAUCAUUUGUCUCAAGUGUUUCCUUCACCUUACUGGACUUUGUGGACAGAUAUAGCUCCUUAGAAUAUUGACGCUUUCUUUUUGAAACCUCUGUGGGAAAGAAAUGUCUGCCUAAGUCAGUCAGACUGUAUAGGAAAAACAGAAAAAAAGAGAUAGUCCCAAACUAUCUGCCUGUCUCAGAAGGGAGAGAUCAGCAGCCUGGGACAAGCUUAUGGGUCAGAUGAAAGUCUAAGUUUGGUAGCAGAACUGCAUCCACAUUACACUGUUAUUAUUCUCAGGCCAUUAGAAAAGCCUUAUGCAAGUGAAGUAAGACAUAAUAAUGGGCAGAAACUCACCUGACUUGGGCAACCUUAGUAUAGGUCUUUUGAAGAGACUAUGGGUUGGAGGGAUUGUUGCCAUACACAGAGGAGUGAGACCAGUAAAGAAGAAAUGAACUAAAUAAGUAGAAAGGAAGGCAUUUUCUAUGGAAGUAUGGUGGGCCUGUUGUUCCUCUUGUAGCUCUGGUAGAAAACCUUCAAGGACAAGGCUGCUUCCCAGAAGCAAUUGAGAACAGGGAGGGUAGAGGAGCCAUCCUGGUACCUGUCUUAACAUGAUGGGGUUGCUCAGUGGUACUAACUCAUUAGCCAAUGUGCCCUUGUGACCAUUUUCCUGAAGCACUAAAGGGGUGCCCUGCCCAUGGAUGGAGUAGUGAAAUGGAAUAGGUAGCCAUCAGUAGGCAAAAAGAUGAUGCUGAUUUUCAACACAUUCCAAAUAUAAGAAAGUUGGAAAAGUUAAGUAGAGAGACUGACCUGAAGGAGAAAGGCAGUUCUAGAGCCACUGCUGGCUCCCACUCCUUAGCUGAGCUGUUCUCUCUGUGAGAGGAUCUUCAUGAAUCCCUAUCAGACCACACUGUCCACAUCUGUAAUAUUCAUGGGGCUAGCUGAGCUUUUCCUCAUUAAAGUAAAAUCAAACAAAACCUCUUAAAGGUAUAGCAUCUCCUCUUUUGCUAUGAUAAUUAGCAUAGAGCAAGGCUGGUUUUUCUUACAGUCAGUGAAAUUGACUCACUUUUUCUGUAUUUUCAAAAUUCAUAGAGAUAUGUAAUAAGUAGUGCACCACAAUCAAGAUAGAUAUCAGAGUUCCUCAUGUCCCAACUAGUUCCCUUCCUAGACCCAGGCAACCCUUGGUCUGUUCUAAAUCUACAUCACAAGGUUAGGCUCAAGAAUCCAUUUUUGUUGGUAUAAUAUCAAUACCAACACCAGAACAGGGUCACUGUCCCUAAUUAAAAAGACUCAAUAUGCUCCAAACUCCCAAAAAAAUUUUAGAGUGUCACUAAGAUGCCAUAAUUUGAAGCAUUUGGGUUUUUCAGAUGAGGAAUGUUCCAGUAAGGUCUACUUAGCUCUAGAAACUUCCAAAAUCUGAAACACAUUUGGUUCCCAAGAAUUUCAGGUAAAUAAUAUUCCAUUCACAUUCAUACUAUUUUAGACCAAGUCACAUUUCUAAUGCGCCAGGCCUGACUUGAAUUUUAUAGAUAAAAAAACUGAGGCUUUGAGAGAGUUUAGAGAG
rnacentral:lncRNA from 1 species